GAUGAACGCUAGCGGCGUGCCUAAUACAUGCAAGUCGAGCGAAUGGAUUAAGAGCUUGCUCUUAUGAAGUUGGCGGCGGACGGGUGAGUAACACGUGGGUAACCUGCCCAUAAGACUGGGAUAACUCCGGGAAACCGGGGCUAAUACCGGAUAACAUUUUGAACCGCAUGGUUCGAAAUUGAAUGGCGGCUUCGGCUGUCACUUAUGUAUGGACCCGCGUCGCAUUAGCUAGUUGGUGAGGUAACGGCUCACCAAGGCAACGAUGCGUAGCCGACCUGAGAGGGUGAUCGGCCACACUGGGAAUGAGACACGGCCCAGACUCCUACGGGAGGCAGCAGUAGGGAAUCUUCCGCAAUGGACGAAAGUCUGACGGAGCAACGCCGCGUGAGUGAUGAAGGCUUUCGGGUCGUAAAACUCUGUUGUUAGGGAAGAACAAGUGCUAGUUGAAUAAGCUGGCACCUUGACGGUACCUAACCAGAAAGCCACGGCUAACUACGUGCCAGCCGCCGCCGUAA
rnacentral:rRNA from 1 species